rnacentral:rRNA from 1 species
CCCUACGGGGCGCAGCAGGCGCGAAAACUCUACAAUGCAGGCAACUGCGAUAGGGGAACAUCGAGUGGCGGUCAUAUUGAUCGUCUGUCCAUCCGCCUAAAAAGCGGGUGUUAGCAAGGGCCGGGCAAGACCGGUGCCAGCCGCCGCGGUAAUACCGGCGGCUCGAGUGGUGGCCGAUAUUAUUGAGUCUAAAGGGUCCGUAGCCGGCUUUGCAAGUCUCUCGGGAAAUCCAGCGGCUUAACCGUUGGUCGUCCGGGGGGUACUACAUUGCUUGGGACUGGGAGAGGUAGGAGGUACUCAGGGGGUAGGAGUGAAAUCCUGUAAUCCA